GGCCAGGAGAUCGUGGAAAGGCAGAGGGAGGAAUGAAGCUCACACGCACGCCGACGCUUGCUUGUAGGUGAUGGAGGCACAGAAACGAUGGAGGACAAGGAUGAGGAGAACAUGCUGGAGAAUCACAGGAGAUGGCAUGCUCACAUAAAGGCAAUCAUUACAGUCAUAGCAGAAGCAUGUUUCAUAGCUCCUGCCACCUCUGCCCCCUACAAUGCACAAUCAAAGGCCAUUGUUGUAGCUCCUAUAGCAUGACCCAAUGGUGUGUGCAUGAGUUCACUGUGGGUGAGCCUGUCAUGAGAGACACGCUGGCUGAACUGUGGAUCAGCUGUGAGCAGCUUAACCUGUGUCAUGCUGUAGCUGACUGGAAAUCAGUGAUGAUCAGGGACAGCGCAGGAGAUUUGGAAGGCUUAAAUUUAACUGAGCAGACAGUCCCCUGAUAGAGUGAACAAAGUUCUCUGCCUUGGCUUGAAGACAGAGACCUUCAUCCUGAGAUAAGGCCAUCAACGCAAACAGUCCCAGAGGCAGCGCUGACUUGUCCCAUCACUGUGCUGCUUGAAACAUCCCGACUUCAUGGUGGAGAAACUACAGGGGGCAGCCAAGCAUCUGGUUAAGAGUUAGAAGAACUGGCAUCGGUGACAGCUUAUCGGGCUGUGACAUCUGAACCAUGCUCAGCGCAAAAUUGUCGAAUGCCAGGGAUGACAUUAUCUGGGUUUCUGCAUGCUUUCCCUUUGCCUGGAGCAUCUGAUGACAUUGUCAGCACAGGUGACCAAUCAGCAGCAUGGGGACCAAGGAAGAAGAAGAUAUCAGACAGCAUUAUCAGCAUUAGGAUGGCUUAAUUCUUUAACUAAGCAGCAACAUAAAUGUCAGAGCAAAAUAAAUAAACAUUAGGUAAAUCUGUUUCAUUUUUAGAUAUUAAAAAAACAUUAUUCAUAAAACAGAAUUGCCUCUGAGCUUCACUGAAUUCUCAAAUACACAGAUUAUGAAAGUUUUAUUACAUUCAGAAUGAAAACCAUGCUUUUGGAUUAAUGUAAUACAAACGAAAAUUUCUUUAAGUCACUCAGUUUUUUUCUUAUAUGACGAUUCAUCAGUAUAAUAGAACUGCAGAGAGAGUAUGUAAUUUAAAUUUAAAUUCAGAUCAAAACUAUCACAAUUAGUUUGACCAUAACUCAACCGUUUUAUUCCUGCCACUUUGUCGCUUUAUUCCAAAAAAGCACUGAAAACUAGACACAGUCUGACACUUCAGAUUUUCAUUUAGAUAAUAGCAUCCCAUCUGGUUGCCGCCACGCCUUCUGUUACUUUCAGUCCUCCCAUCCAACCUCCUUAUCAAUUACAAAGCCACUUUUAAGUCCAAGUUAAUAGGAUGUUAAUGCAUUAUUGGGUCUGUGGCGAUGUGCUAUUGAAGGAAGGGGUGGACAUUAUUGCCCUUGAGCACAAUCUGGGACCAAGACAAGAUCACAUCUUAAUAUAAGCAGAUGAGAGGAGAUUGUUUAAAAGUAGUAGUAUGCACUUUUAUUGUGUGGGGCUGUAUUAUUGUUAUUGAUAAAUUAAGACAUUACCCAUAUAAAAUAUAUUUUGUUUAUUUGAGUGUGGAAAGCAAAACAUAUUACAUCAUAUAUUUAUGUAAUAUGUCAUCUGUUGUUUGCAGUGAUGUCACUACCUUGUUCAUGUUGUAUGAGGCAAAUACCAUGUCCUUAUCUAGGGGGCAAAAUCUCUUCAUCUGCAUGCUGUAAAUUGAAGUAGAUGGAAGACAGGAUUACUUCUUGUGAUAACACAACUCAGUACAAGUGAUAAUUGUAACUUUAAUGCAUAGACAAGUAAUGCUGAGUUCAUUUUCUUUUGUACAGCUUGUACAAGUUAAGUAUUUGUUGGGUAGAUUUUUUAAGUUUUGUAAAUUAGCAAAAUAUGAACAAAACAGCAGUGUUCAUAUAACAUGUCAACAAGUAUUAUAUUAUGAAAAAGUAUUAUAUUAUAGUAUAUGUAGUAUAGUAUUUUAUAAAUUUUGAAUCUUGAAAUCAUUAUAUGCUGUUUCAUUGCUUCAGUCAUUUUUAUUACCAUUGUUGAAAACAGUUAUUGUACAGUUUUAUUUUUUGAGUAAUUAUUUUUUAUUUUAUUUUUUUAUUUUUAUUUUUUUGAGGAAACCAUGUUUUAUCUUUGAUGAAUAUAUAAGGGUUCAAAAAGCGACAUUUAUUUGAAAUGUAAUUUAUUUGUAACAAUGUUUUGUUCAGUUCUGGAUAGUAACUGAUUACUUGUAAUCUGGAUGAUCUAUGCUUUUUAUUAGAGUGUAUUAUAUUUUAAAAUGCUCAUAAGCAGUUACUUUUUAUAAAUUAUAUGAUUACAUUAUUCACACAAUGGCAGUAAAUAAUUUAUUGAUUCUCCCUUUUUUAUUUUUUAAAUAAUAUACUUACUUGAAAUAUCUCUAAGGAAGUUAAUAUUUA
ensembl:lncRNA